UAGGGAAUCUUCGGCAAUGGACGAAAGUCUGACCGAGCAACGCCGCGUGAGUGAAGAAGGUUUUCGGAUCGUAAAACUCUGUUGUUAGAGAAGAACAAGGACGUUAGUAACUGAACGUCCCCUGACGGUAUCUAACCAGAAAGCCACGGCUAACUACGUGCCAGCAGACGCGGUAAUACGUAGGUGGCAAGCGUUGUCCGGAUUUAUUGGGCGUAAAGCGAGCGCAGGCGGUUUCUUAAGUCUGAUGUGAAAGCCCCCGGCUCAACCGGGGAGGGUCAUUGGAAACGGGGAGACUUGAGUGCAGAAGAGGAGAGUGGAAUUCCAUGUGUAGCGGUGAAAUGCGUAGAUAUAGGGAGGAACACCAGUGGCGAAGGCGGCUCUCUGGUCUGUAACUGACGCUGAGGCUCGAAAGCGUGGGGAGCAAACAGG
rnacentral:rRNA from 1 species